UCAUAAACCGGAGGAAGGUGGGAUGACGUCAAGUCAGCAUGGCCUUUAUAUCCUGGGCUACACACACGCUACAAUGGGAAGGGACAAUAGGUUGCGAAGCCGCGAGGCGGAGCCAAUCCAGCAAAACUUCCCUCAGUUCAGAUUGCAGGCUGCAACUCGCCUGCAUGAAGUUGGAGUUGCUAGUAAACGCAGGUCAGCCAUACUGCGUUGAAUACGUUCCCGGGGCUU
rnacentral:rRNA from 1 species